GCGCACCAGGCGCGAAAACUCCGCAAUGCGUGGCAACGUGACGGGGUCAUCCCGAGUGUCACCUGCUGAAGGUGACUUUUGCCCGGUGUAACUAGCCGGGUGAAUAAGGGGAGGGCAAGUCUGGUGUCAGCCGCCGCGGUAAUACCAGCUCCUCGAGUGGUUGGGACGAUUAUUGGGUCUAAAGCGUCCGUAGCCGGUCGGAAAAGUUCUCCGUUAAAUCCAACGAUUCAAUCGUUGGGCUGCGGGGAAUACUCUUCGACUUGGGGGCGGGGGAGGCCGACGGUAGUCCAGGGGUAGGGGCGAAAUCCUAUAAUCCCGGGAGGACCACCAGUGGCGAAGGCGGCCGACUAAAACGCGCCCGACGGUGAGGGACGAAAGCUGGGGGAGCGAACGGGAUUAGAUAUGAAGUUGAGUUUUUACCAGCUUCACUAGAUACCCCGGUAGUCC
rnacentral:rRNA from 1 species